rnacentral:rRNA from 1 species
AACGAACGCUGGCGGCGUGCUUAACACAUGCAAGUCGAACGCGAAAUUUUUCUUCGGAAAGAGAGUAGAGUGGCGCACGGGUGAGUAACGCGUAAGUAAUCUACCCUGGUAUCUGGGAUAACCCACCGAAAGGUGUGCUAAUACCGGAUACGCUGAGUAAUCAGGAAAGGUGGCCUCUUCAUGAAAGCUACUGUACCAGGAGGAGCUUGCGUACCAUUAGCUAGUUGGUAGGGUAAUGGCCUACCAAGGCAACGAUGGUUAGCGGGUCUGAGAGGAUGAUCCGCCACACUGGAACUGGAACACGGACCAGACUCCUACGGGAGGCAGCAGUGAGGAAUAUUGCGCAAUGGGGGAAACCCUGACGCAGCGACGCCGCGUGGAUGAUGAAGGCCUUCGGGUCGUAAAAUCCUGUCAGGUGGAA